rnacentral:rRNA from 1 species
AGGACGAACGCUGGCGGCGUGCUUAACACAUGCAAGUCGAGCGGUAAGGCCCUUUCGGGGGUACACGAGCGGCGAACGGGUGAGUAACACGUGAGCAAUCUGCCCUUCACUUCGGGAUAAGCCUCGGAAACGGGGUCUAAUACCGGAUAUGACUGCGCCAUGCAUGUGGUGUGGUGGAAAGUUCUGGCGGUGAGGGAUGAGCUCGCGGCCUAUCAGCUUGUUGGUGGGGUAAUGGCCUACCAAGGCUUCGACGGGUAGCCGGCCUGAGAGGGUGACCGGCCACACUGGGACUGAGACACGGCCCAGACUCCUACGGGAGGCAGCAGUGGGGAAUAUUGGACAAUGGGCGAAAAGCCUGAUCCAGCCAUACCGCGUGGGCGAAGAAGGCCUUCGGGUGUAAAGCCCUUUG